UACGUAGGAGGCGAGCGUUGUCCGGAUUUACUGGGCGUAAAGAGCGCGCAGGCGGCACGCUAAGUAUGGUGUGAAAUCUCCCUGCUCAACGGGGAGUAUGCAUUGUAAACUAGCGAGCUAGAGGACGGUAGAGGGGGGUAGAAUUGCUGGUGUAGCGGUGAAAUGCGUAGAGAUCAGCAGGAAUACCCGUGGCGAAGGCGGCCCCCUGGGCCGAACCUGACGCUGAGGCGCGAAGGCUAGGGGAGCAAACGGG
rnacentral:rRNA from 1 species